UAUAUAUAAAAGAAGCAUUGUAUCUCUCCUGGGCAUGCCAGCUCGGAUGCCACGUCGGAAAUAGAAGCUCUCUCGCGCUGCCACGUCGGAUCCGCACCGUUUCACUUAAGCGUUGCUCUGUCCGAACGGGCUUCACGUGGGCUUCGUCACGCGCUAAUCAAAUGUUUUCUGUCGCGAGGCCCGUCCGCAUACGUCUUCUACGGGGAACCCUAAACAGAUGCUCCCUUCCUGUUCUUCGUUCGUCGCCUAUCGCCGCAGCGGCUGUCUAGAACCUGUAACGGUUUUGCUUUCAAUCACCUUAAAUCGUCUUUAAUUCACCAAUAAUGGAGUUUCAAGAGGAUGUAGUCUUGAAGAAUCUAUGUAAGAAGCUUCGUUUGCGUCUUUACGCCUUCCUUUCUAAUCCUUUGAAACGUUAAUGGUUAUUUAUUCAUGGUUGUCUAAUCUCUGCAAGUUGGUCUCUCAGCACCUAUAAAAGCUGCGACACAAGAAGUUACGAUGAACGGAGUCCUCAUCGGUUUGAAUCAGCCCUAGGGACGACAGAGUCGCGCAGAUCUUCGAUUCCGUACCUCUCAUUCCUCCUCUCGAGAUCUCUCGCUCAUCAUGGUCACUCUCUCUUCUUCUUCUUAUGAUUUUAAUAGGCUUUGAAAUUGAACUUUGAUAUUGGAUUACGGAUUGUGGAGUUUUUGUUUGUCUACGAAAUGAAAUUGUAUUCUUGACCUUCUGAAUAUUGCUUGAUUGUCUGUAAAUCUUAUUGUUUUGUCUAUUCUAACAUAAAAAAAUUAGGUCUUGGAUUGUUUUGGUUUAACCACAAGCGCAACAUUUUUACUAGAUCUUUUUGAGAGAAAUUUAGUGUUUGCAUCCAUAUGUGUUUUUGAUGCCAAAAAGAUAAUUUUUGUUUACUUAUGUGUUUUUUAUGCCAAAAUAUAGUUUUCUGUCGUUUGUCUGUGUUUAGUUAGAGGAGCAUUACGUGGCUAUGUGAGGAGAUGGAGUUGAGAUGAGGAUGCUAGCUCUUACAGCUUUGGAUGUUCUACGGUUCGUCAGAUUUUUACAAUUGAUACAGGUUUUUGUGUUUUGAGUGAACUUUUGACGCUGAGGAUAUGCAAGAGUUCAAUGUCUAGCAUGCAGGACAACAGAUGACUAAUUGCAAUAAGCUGGCUAGACUUGAUGGAGUUCCAUACCAUGAUUUCACUGGAUAGGUCUUUGGUUUUUUUUUUUUUUGGAAAAGAAAAAAAAUGUAGUUUGCAUUUUAGGGGUUAACAUGUUAAACUCAAGCAUCUUUCUUAGUUGUUGUUUGUCUUGCGCUGUUGGCAGGAGAGGAUUUGACUAUUCUCUAUGGGUUCGAAUGUAAGGAUAAUGUUUGAGACCAACACACAAAACCCACCGGGUCAUAUAAACGAACAGUGUCACUUACCAAAUAACCAAAAAUUUAGCAAAA